rnacentral:rRNA from 1 species
GUGGGGAAUUUUGGACAAUGGGCGCAAGCCUGAUCCAGCCAUGCCGCGUGCAGGAUGAAGGCCUUCGGGUUGUAAACUGCUUUUGUACGGAACGAAACGGCUCUUUCUAAUAAAGAGGGCUAAUGACGGUACCGUAAGAAUAAGCACCGGCUAACUACGUGCCAGCAGCCGCGGUAAUACGUAGGGUGCGAGCGUUAAUCGGAAUUACUGGGCGUAAAGCGUGCGAAGGCGGUGAUGUAAGACAGAUGUGAAAUCCCCGGGCUCAACCUGGGAACUGCAUUUGUGACUGCAUCGCUGGAGUGCGGCAGAGGGGGAUGGAAUUCCGCGUGUAGCAGUGAAAUGCGAAGAUAUGCGGAGGAACACCGAUGGCGAAGGCAAUCCCCUGGGCCUGCACUGACGCUCAUGCACGAAAGCGUGGGGAGCAAACAGGAUUAGAAACCCCUGUAGUCC